GUGGUAAUCUGUGUGACAGCACAAGCCCCGCUCCAGCGUUGCCGCAAUGCUCCUGUCUGUUCUCCAUCGACCAGCUUCCUGCUGAAGGUCUGAAUGUCACAGUGAAGAUAAGAGUGGGGAAGCAGAACCUUGUUGAGAAACUAAUGCUAACUGACUGUUCAGACAUCACUGGACCACCUACCUCUGCCCUGUUAGUCAGAAAUCCCAAAUCUGUCUUGCUACGCCUCAGCACCUUGAUAUGGCUAUGUUUGGACCUACUUGUUUAGACCUACUUCAAUAUUUACCAAGGUGUUUUCAGUGCAUGACAGCUGGAUGUAGCUGGAUGCUUGCUCCUGGACACCUAGGUCUGCCAACUCAGACCCCAUACAGGACGUGUUCAGACUCAGCCAGUCAGGGAUGAACUACUAUGAGCCAGUGAUCUUCUCCAUAGUGCCCAGUGUUCUGUCCUUCCAUGGGAGAAACCACGCCCUGAUGACUGGGAAGAACCUCGAUCAAGUGACUAGGGUUCGCAUCCAAGGGCACAUGGACUGCAGUCCCAAGGAGUCUCCUGUGUGGAACCACACUGGGUCCAGUCUGACGUUCCACAUCCCCAGUGGAGACAAAGGUUCUGUCAGUGUGUGUGCCGUGCUGCCAGACGGUCGCUGUCUGGGCAAGGCCACUGUCACCUAUAGGUCCUUACCGUCCUGCACUGGGCUAACACCAAGCACUACCUGGGCUACGUAAACACACACACACACACACGUAGUGGGAAAAGGAGGAUCAUGGUCCUGGGGUCCCAGCUGGAGUUUGUGGAGGGGGUUGUUCAUGACCACGCCCAUCAGACUAUCAGACCAACUACAGCUCAGGGUCUGUGUGGUACCACACACCUCCUUUUGAACACAUUCACCAGCCAGUCACCUCCACUGUGUCUCUGAGAGUGGCCAAUCAGACACUGGCCUGCUCAUCACAGCUCACCUACCAUCCCGACCCAGAAUUCACCAGGUACACUGCAAUCAAGACAGGAAACAACCUGCGUGUCACCAUUGAGAAAAGGGCUGACAAGUUGGACAUCACCACAGCAGAGAUCUCAGUGUUGGGUGUUCAGGAGGAGAACCAGUAUGUAGAGUGUGUCCUGGACCCCAACGAGACGAGCAACAGGACUGACUCUGUCAUCUGUGAGAUAAAGAACACUCCCAGCACUAACAUCAAGUCACUGAGGAUAAGAGUUGGCACAAUAAACCUUGAUUCAACACACACUGUACUGCCAAGCCUCUUUCUGCUUAUAGCCAUCAUCAUUAUAGUCAUCGUUGCUGUCCCCACUCUGCUGAUUAGCACCACUACACUAUUUAAGCAACAGUUUUUCCCUCCAGUAUUCCUUAUCCUGCUGGGGAUUGCAAUGGCCAACCUUAUUUUUCAAUUCCUUGAGCUGCAUGACUGACAACGUCUGGAAGGAACCUGCAUUAUCUGAGGUCAACAGACUGUCCUUUGAGGCUUUGCAAGUUUGUUGGCAAGGUGGUUGAUCUUACUCCAGUGUAAAUCGCCUUCUCCAUCAUUAUUUUUGGAUCAAAGAUGUCUUAAAUGUUUUGAAAUUGGAGAAAAUAAAAUGUAGUCUACGGUGAACCUCUUGUAAAUUCUACAAAAUGUCAGCCUUCCUGUACUUGCUGUCAUUCCUCCCCACUCAACAGUUAACUGCCUGCACUUGUUUUGCCUGUAAUUUAUAUUGUUUGUAUUAUCCUGACUUAAUAUAAGACUGUG